rnacentral:lncRNA from 1 species
AUCCCUUUGUUGUGUGACCCCAUAGGUUCAAUUCUAUCUGAUAGUGAUAUUUACNNNNNNNNNNNNNNNNNNNNNNNNNNNNNNNNNNNNNNNNNNNNNNNNNNNNNNNNNNNNNNNNNNNNNNNNNNNNNNNNUGGCAGGUCAUGGAUAAAUCAUCAAACUUCAUCAUCAGUCAUAUGAUAGAUUCGAUUAGCUCAAGUCCAAUUGUGAUACUCAUGAAAACUCUUUUCCAUCAAUCACACUGCUGUAGCCACAGACUCUCGGACUUAGCCUCUCAAAUCCCAUAGAACUACUCUCUAUCAAGAUCGAUAGAUUCCAUCUAGAUGCGCACCCUACUCUUACAGUGGACCGUCGCCAACGUCCACUACAAGGUCUCAAUGAGACUAUGUUUAUGUAUCAGUCAAACUCCAACAGCCUCACUAUGAGCAAUCAUACCAUCGUAGAUCAAAAGAUCAUUCACACAACUACGGCAUCGAGACGAUCACUGACAAUUGAUUAGAAAUUCAGGUGAUCUUUCAUAUGGUCACGCUCAGUACUAGUUGUUCUCUAACAACUAUCCGCACUCGUUACUCAGUGUUUCUACACUGUAAACCAGAGACUCAUCUACCUCGAAAGAAGUAAUCUGUGCGCCGAUCUAUUCGGAUCGAUCACCGUCCUCAUGAUGAUACUAUGACUGAGAGCAUUUAAAAAUUAAUUAUACAUACCUCUAAUUCUCAACACCUUGAAAAUAUAUAUCGAAAUAUUAAUUCCAUGGAUGAUUCAAGGAUACAUACCUCUAAGUCCCAUCUUCUCAAGGUGGACUUUCAUCUUUGGCUGGUUCAAUUACUUUGUCAGUGGGUCUGCCAUGUUAUCCGCGGAGUCUACUCUUCACACCUCGACAUAUUUUUUUUCGAGGUAGUCGUAUAUGAUAUGGAACUGCCGCUCGAUGUGCUUUAAUUUUUGAUGAGACCUCGGCUCCUUAGCAAGUGCUAUGGCUCCAUUAUUGUCGUAAUAAAUUGGUAUGGCAUCUGAUGUCAUUAUCCCAAACUUUGCGACGAACUUCUUGAAUCAAAAGUCUUCUUUUACAGCAUCCGAAGCAACGACAUAUUCAAUUUCUGUGGUCGAAUCCGCUAUGAUGGGUUGCUUGAAAUUCUUCCAGCUGACUGCGCCACCAUUGUAUGCAAACACAUAUCCUGACGUAGAUUUUCUAUCAUCAGGAUCAGAUAUGAAGUCUGAAUCAGUAUACCCCUCGAUUUGCAACUCAGAACUUCCUCCAAAGAUCAAGAACAAAUCCUUAGUUCUUCUCAAGUACUUAAAGAUAUUCUUUACAGCUAUCCAGUGCUCCUCGCCUGAAUUCAACUGAUACCUGCUCGUGACACUCACAGCAAAGGUAAUAUCAGAUUGAAUACACAGUAUGACAUACAUGAGGCUCCCUAUGGUCGAGGCAUAAAAAAUCCUACUCAUACGCUGAACUUCCUCAGAUGUGGUCGGACAUCUUGAAAAGAUGAAUACUAUGCCUAAGAGGUAAGAGUACUGAACCUCUUUAGCACUUUCUCUAUGUACAGCUUUUGUGACAGACCUAGCAUCCUUUUAGAUCUAUCCCUAUAGACCUUUAUUUCAAAAAUAUACGAUGCUUCCCCUAUAUUUUUCAUAGAGAAUUUCUUGGACAACCAUCUUUUGACCAUAGUCAGCAUGAAAAUAUCAUUCUCAAUGAGAAGAAUAUCAGCCACGUACAAUACGAGGAAUGUUAUUGCAUUCCCACUUACCCUUUUGUAUACACAAAGUUUCUCUUCGUUCUUGACGAAAUCAAACGAUUUAAUUGCUUCAUCAAAAUAAAAAUUCCAACUCCAAGAAGCUUGCUUUAAUCCAUAUAUAGAUCUUUGCAGCUUACAGACUCGGUGAUCACCAUCACCAGUUGUGAACCCAAAGGCUGCUCCAUAUAGAUAUCUUCCUCAAGAUAUCCAUUCAGAAAAGCAGUUGUCACAUCCAUCUAUCAGAUUUCAUAAUCAUAAGAAGCUGCAACAGCAAGCAGAGUGCGGAUAGAUUUCAGCAUGACUACGAACGAGAAGAUUUUCUGAUGGUCAACGCCUUCGCGCUGAUUAUAACCUUUUGCCAUGAACCUAGUUUUAUAGGUCUCUACCUUACCAUCGGUAUCUAUUUUUCUUUUAUAGAUUCAUUUACACCCAAUGGGUACUAUACACUUAGGUGGAUCCACUAAGAUCCACACUUGAUUCGAGUGCAUCGAGUUAAUCUCUGACUUCAUUGCAUCUAAUCAUUUCUCAAAAUCGAUGUCAGACAUCGCCUCGUCAAAAGUAUUAGGAUCAUCACCAUGACCCUAUCUCCCAUAAGCAAUAUUUUCUCUACUUUCUCUGCAAGCAUAUCCAUGUACCUUUUAGGAGGUCAGAGAUCCAGUUAGAUCUACAAGAUGGUGGAGGAACAUCAACUACUGGCUCAUGAAUAAUGAGUUUUUGAAGAUCCAUAGCUCUUUGCUCUUCAGAGACUUUCUCUUCAAGCUCAACUAACCUUCCAUUGCCAUCAUCUUGGAUAAACUAUUUUUUUAGGAAUAUGACGUUUCGACUCACAAUCACAUUGUGAUCUUGUAGAAAGUAGUAAUAUCCCAUUGAUUCUUUUGGAUACCUAAUAAAACAAGCUAUUACAGAUCUAUUCUCUAAUUUAUCAACCAUCUGUCUUUUGACAUAGACCGGACAUUCUCAGAUCUUAAGAUAACCUAAACUCGACUUCUUACCAUACCAUAUCUCAUAUGGUGUGGUAAGAACGGAUUUUGAUAGAACCUUAUUCAAUAAAUAAAUUACAAUUAAUAAGGCAUGUCCUCAAAGAUAUAAGGAUAAAUCAGUAAAGCUCAUCAUGAACCUGACCAUAUCUAAUAAGAUUCUAUUCCUCCUUUCGGAUAUCCCGUUGAGCUGUGGUGUUCCAAGAGGAGUCCAUUGAGAGAUUAUGCCGUUGUCCUUAAGAUAUCCCAAAAAUUUCUGACUAAAGUAUUCACCUCCUCAAUUAGAUCGAAGAACCUUAAUAGGUUUGUCUGUUUAUUUUUCUACUUCAUUUCUGAAUUUCUUGAACUUUUCAAAGACUUCAGACUUAUGUUUCAUCAAAUACACAUACCCGUACCGUAACAGAUCAUCGAUAAAGAUGAUGAAGAAGCUAUAACCACCCCUAGUCUGCACAUCAAAUGGCCGACACACAUCAGUGUGUAUCAGGACAAGUAACUCGAUGGCCCUUUCCCUAUGUCCUACAAAGAAUAACCUAGCCAUUUUUCCUCGAAGGCAAAAUUCAUAAGUUGGGUACGACUCUAAAUCAAAAGAGCCAAAGAUUCCAUUCUUUUCCUGUUUGUUAUCCUUUCCUCUCCAAUAUGGCCUAGUCUAUGAUGUCAUAAGUAUUUUAAGUUAAUUUCGUCUCUGGAUCUCUUUUGACCUAUGACACUCACUACUUGCUCGUUUAAAUUCACAUUCGCAUCAAUAUGCAAGUGAUAAAGACUGUCAAUUAAAAGACCACGUGCAAUUAAUUUAUUUCGUAAAUAAAUGAAACAAAAAACUUUAUUGAAAUUAAAAUCAAAACCAUCUUGUACUAGCACAGAUAUGGAAAUCAAAUUCUAACUAGCUACAGGAACAAAAUAACAGUCUUUCAAAUCUAAUCUAAAUUCUGACGGUAACUGAAGAGGAUAAGUAUCAAUGGCUUCUGCAGUAAUUUUUGUUCCAUUAUCGAUCCGAAAGAUUAUGUCACCUUCCCUCAACCUCCUACUUUCUAUUAGAUCUUGCAUUGAAGUACAUAUAUGAGCACUCGAACCAGAGUCCAAUAUCCAACUAGAAGUAGAAAAAAUCGUAAGGUUAGAUUCAAUUAUGAGUAUACUUUCUGAAAGUUUGUCACCUUUUUUGGUCUUCAGGCUCUCCAGCUAGAGUGGACAGUUUCUCCUCCAGUGGCCUUCAGCAUCACAAUGGAAACACUUUUUCUAUCUCAACCUUCUUUGGAACGUCCUUCUUUGGCUUGCUCUCUUUCUUCUGCUUCUUUGCAGAUUUAUUCUUCUUUCAACCAGACUUUCUCUUGGAUGAAGAAGUCCACUCCACAGUGAGAACAGCACCCCUUAAACUCUUCAAAAGUCUCUCAGUAGUGACCAACAUGUUGACCAGUUCGAAUAUGGUACAAUCAAGUUUGUUCAUAUAAAAAUUUAUAAUAAAUUGACUAUAUGAACUCGUAAGGAAUUGAAGAAUCAAAUUCAUCUGUAAUUCUUUUUGCAUAUCAAGCCUGAGCUUCCCAAGCUCCUCAAUCCUCGAUCACUGCCAUACAAUACUCAUGGACUGACUGUCCUUCGCAUAUUUUCAGAUUGAAGUCUCUUGGAUACUUUGAAGCACACUGUGCGGCUCUACUCAUCAUACAACUCUUGUAGGUAAGAAUCAUAGCCCUAGCAGUGGGUAUAUGCUCAUGCUGGCUCUGCAACUCAUUUGACAUGGAAGCCAGCACAUAGCACUUAAUCCGACUGUCUUCAUCCGUUCACCUUUUUAUAUACUGUUCUUUGCUCAGUAGUAGAACGUUUUGGUAACACUAAAGGUUCCUGAUCAAGUACAUGGCCUAAUUUUUCAGAAAUCAAGACAAUCCUGAGGUUUCUAAGCUAGUCUUUAUAAUUAGUUCCGAUCACAUGAAUGGACUAAAGGAUGCGAGCUAGAGGGUUUGAAGCUGACAUGGUUUAACUACGAGAGUAGAGAUUCAAGUUAGACUUUUGUACUUUAAAUUUAUAUUUGCUCUAGAAACUUUAAGAAGCAAACAAGAACUCCCACUAUUUUUUCGGAUCUCUACUCUCCGAGUGGGAAACGAAGAUCCUAACGCGACAACUAGAUUUCUAGUGGAUGUUGCGGUCCCACCGAUGCCAUGCAUCUCACCUAAUAGUUAUUGGUAAUAUGCACACCGAUGCGUGGACAACCCUUUACCCAGAUGCUUCUCUAAGCAUGUUGCAGCCAUUUGGUCUUUAAGUUAUAUGGACUCACCUAACAGUUAUUGACAACAUUCUUUAGUUAAAUCCGACCCACCAUUCACAAGCAGGUGUGAAGCCGUCAUUGGAACGUUUACCUAACAGUUAUUAGGCCCAACUCCAUCCUUAUCCUGGAGUAACUCUUUGCUAAUAGAGUGGUUACGUGUUCCCGAUGCAACUGAACCACUGUGAUUAGCCGAGAACAAUCAACACUAGUACCACGCCCACACAUCUACAACGAUGGAAGACCUAUGGACUUAAUAUUUAUGGGAAGGUUUAGAUUUAGAUCUCAUCUAAUCAGACAUCAUAUGAUCGAUCUAAUUGGCAUGGGCUAAAUUAAACUGCCAAAUAACUUUAUUCAAGUCUCAAUCUUUCAAAUUGGUCAGAUAAGUGGAGAUCGAUGGGGAUCCCCCUAUUGCUUUCUUUAGACACCAAUAAAUUGACCAGAUCAGCGAACGGAAUCAAUUAAAUAACCACCUCUCAUACUUGCCUUAGACAUCAAUAGAUUAAUUGGUUCAAAUAAUUUAGCUUAAGCGAGGAAGGCUCAAGCCAUCGAGCCGAAUUAGGUCCUUAAGUUAAUCGAUUCUACAUAUGGAAUUUAAUCGAUUUGAUCAACAAUUGCAUGAUCUUAAACUUAAUUGACAUAAUCCUAAUCAACACUUGACUCGGUUUGAUCAAUUACUUAAUCAAAUUGGACACAUUAUGUUCAAAUCAAAAACCCUAGAUGCAAUCUAAUUACCUGAUCUAAUUUUUUAUGACCAAAACUCUCAUGCACAAAUACAAGUUUCAGAUUCUAAAACUAAAUUUUAGAUCUAAAUUCUUUGUAUGAAAGAUAAGUUUUAAAUCUUGAAACUAAUUUUCAAAUUUAAUACACAAACAUAUAUCUUAUAUAUGUAUAUAAAAUUCAAAUUUAAAUAAAAAUUCAGAUCAUAACAUGAUAUCAUAUAUCUCAUAUACAAAUCAUGAAAUAUAUUGAAACUAAUUUUCGGACCUAAAUAUGUAAUCAUAAUCUCAUAUAUGAAUCAUAUAUCAGGUCAAAAUAAUUUUCAGAUUUAUGCAUGCAUCUAUAUAUCACAUAUAAAUGAACUAGAAUCCUAUCUGGAACAAAUUUUAAAUCCAUGCAUGCCUUCACAUAUCGAACAUAUGAACUGAAAAUUAAAUCAAAAAUAAAUUCCAGAUUCAAAAUAAUCAUCUAUACAUCUCAUGUAUCAAAAAAAUCAGAUUUUGAAACUCUUUUCAAAAACAUGUCAAUUUCACGUAUAUAAAAUCUGUGGCCCUAAUACCACUGUUGCAAUUUCGUGUCGGGGCAUGCAUGUAUUUUUCAAAAUUUUUCUUUUUUACACAACGCAGCGGAAUAGAAGAUUAAAAUAACUUUUAAUCUAAAUCAUGCAGGCAUAAAAUAUAGAACACAUGGAUCUACUUUAUAUACGGAAAUAUGAAUAUAUACUAAAUUUUAUGCUGAAAUUAAAUAUGUGAUUGAAUCACAUCUAUUUCGCAAUUUCUUUCUUCGAAUCUGCAUCUGGAAGAGAGUAGGCUCUCCCUUAACCGCGCAAGUGUCCGACCUCUGUGGGUAUCCACUCAGGAUCAAUCUAGAACAGUCCUCUUUGAUGUUGAUCUUUUUUCUCCAAAAAAAAUCACCCUGUGAAUAUGAAUAAAAUCUAGAUCGCGAUCAACUCUUUGAUUCUUAAUCUUUUUCUUCUCUUCUUCUCUUGCUCUUCUUCCCUAUGAAACAAUCAAGGUCUAAAAACUUGCAAAAAAAAAGGGAACGCCCAACUCCUUUGAGCAUUGGAUCCAAAGGGGAGAAGAGAGGGAGGCGUGGAGGGAUCUUAUGGGAGGUGUGGGCUGCUAAAAAUCUGAUGUAAAGAGCCUUAGAGAAGGCCCCUUUAAAUAGGCAAAAGGUUUAAAUCCUAUUCAAAACCAAAUAGCCUCUUAAUAUAAAUCCUACUUACAUUAGGAAUCCUUAUAGCCUUUAAAUGUUUGACCCCCUUUAGGAGAUCCAUUAGGCACCAACUAUUGGAGCCUUUGCACCCACUUUUUCACAUGCCACAUAGGGCUUAAGAGACACCUCAUGCUGGUUCUACACGUCCUCUUUUAAGUGGGCACGCCCAAUUUGAUCAAAUCUUUAGGAGAUCCAUUAAGCACCAACUAUUGGAGCCUUUGCACCUACUUUUUCACAUGCCACAUAGGGCUUAAGAGACACCUCAUGCUGGUUCUACACGUCCUCUUUUAAGUGGGCACGCCCAAUUUGAUCAAAUCAAAUGGCAUCCCAUGCAAACAAUCAAGAAAAUUGAUUAAGGAUUUGAACCCUUAAUGCAUAUGAUCCAAAACCCUAGGCAUUUAACAAUUGGAGCCCAAUGAAUCCAAUUCAUUAAGGUUAUUAGUAGGUAAUUAACUCGAAUUAAUCUUAUCAAAUAAAAAAUUCAAGUACAAAGAGAAAAUUAGAUUCAAUCAUAUGCUAACAAGCUUAUCCUGAACCCAAUAGAAUUUUUUAAAAUCCNNNNNNNNNNNNNNNNNNNNGACUCUAUAGGUUCAAUUCUAUCUGAUAGUGAGAUAUACAAUGAUCUCUAUCAUAAUAUCAUUGAAACUCUUUUAAAUGGGUCGGAAUGAUUCCAUUCUAACUCAUCAAAGAUUGUCGAUUCUAAGCAACCCUAGUGAGCUCUCACAAUCCACCAGUAACACCUAGCAGUAUGUAGUGGCAAUCCAAUAGAAUCUCAAGGUAUAGUUCACAUGUGAUUC